rnacentral:rRNA from 1 species
UGAGGAACAUGUCUUUCGGCGGGGAAUAGCCGGCCUAACGGCCGGGUAAUUCCGCGUACGACGGUUGGGGCGCAUGCCUCGGCCGUGAAAGCAGCAAUGCGCCGAUGGAGUGCCUCGCGGCCUAUCAGCUAGUUGGUGAGGUAAUGGCUCACCAAGGCGACGACGGGUAGCUGGUCUGAGAGGAUGGCCAGCCACAGUUGGGACUGAGACACGGCCCAGACCUGUACGGGAGG